rnacentral:lncRNA from 1 species
UUUGAGGGGAAAAGCUAUUUUCGAGGGAUGAGUUGGCCUAGUUUAGGUAAGUAUUUUGCCUAACUUUGUGUGGAGGAGCUACCCCUUAGGAUUUAGGUUGAGUGCGCUAUUUGUGUUAUGUGAAAGCCGUGUGAGUACAUGGGUUAUAUAGGGUAAUUGUUCGGUUUAGGUUAUUUAAACUCUUUCCAUGACUUUAAUUUAAUGGUCAUAGUAUGUUAUAUCCCUCAAUGCUAAUCUACCUUUACAUGUUUUAUUUGACAUUUAUUAAUACUUGUUUUACCUCUUACUUGUUAUUUUGUUCUUAUAUGCUUUAGUUGAAGUUAUUGCCUUUCUUAUUGUCUUGUUACCUCUUUAAUCAUUGUAUUACUUUUACUUGAAGUAGUUAUUUUGUGGAAUAUCCUCUUGUUGGGUUAUUGGUGUUGAAGUUGUAAAAGCCUUUAUCUCAUUGAGUUGAAGUUGUUAAUUGUUGAGUUAUCUUCUUGUUGAGUAAUUCACAUUUAUUUUGUUAUUGUUGAUAUUCUUGUAUACAUUGUGAUUGAGUUGUGGGCUAUUUGUUGUGGAAAUAUUGGUAUUGUUGAUUCUUAUUGAAAGUUAUGGCAUAUGGGCACUUGUGGUGCGAGUUGUGAUCAUGUUGUGAUAUUGAUACGCAUGUGGUGGUAUAAGACUAGGCGUUGAUACGUAUGCGGUGAGAUAAUGUGGGCUUGAUACGCCUGUUGCUAGUAGGGGAACUACUUGAAGCCACGUAGUGAGAUAAGGGAGGCUAAAACGAGGGUAGCUAUUUCAGAAAAAAGAUUUUCAAUACUAAAUGUAUGGCUAUUGUGGUGACAUAAGGAAAGAGCUCAUGACUCUGUUCCACCAGGUUUUGGGGAUUUGUUGUCAGCUAUACUGUAGAAUUCUAUUAUGAUAGUUUACACGGUUAAUUUGAAGUUUUAUUAUUAUUUCUGAUGUUUCAUAAAGUAUGCUAGGCUUACCUAGUCUUAGAGACUAGGUGCCAUCACGACAUUCUGAGGUAGGAAAAUAGGGUCGUGACAAGUUGGUAUCAUAGCUCUAUGUUCAGAGGUGUUACGAGUCAUAAAAAAGUUUAGUAGAGUUUUGUGGAUAGGUACGGAUGACUUCUGUUCUUCUCUUCGAGAGGCUACGAAAUUCCCUGUAUUUGAUUCUUUAUCAUGCGAAUUGGUUGACUUCGAAAUCUAAAUGUUUUUCUUUUUACUCUCUCACAGAUGGUGAGGACACGCACUACUAGAUCCAAUGAUCAAACACCCGCGCCCCUGCUAGAGCCACGAGAGGCGAAGGCCUAGGUAGAGGCCGAAGAGGGGCACAUGGUGCAUCUAGAGCACCUGCCAUAGCAGCGCCUGAGGAGCCACCAGUAGCUUUGGUUUGGGGAAAGGCACCCAAGGGGCUCGUUAUCACCCCUGCACAUUAGGAGACCAUAUUACAUUUUAUGAGUAUGUUCGGUUGUAAUGACUCGAUCGACCAUUUUGUGUAAUUGAACCUUGUUACCCAUUAUGAUGCUUCAAAAAUGUAUGUUUAUAAUUUUAUG